UGUUUAUUUUCUAUUUUUUAUUGUUUUACUGUUUUGAUUAACAUUUUUUAUUCUUAUAUUACUUUUUAUUGUGAUUUUGUGUGUGUGAAGAAUAUUGUGAUUUCUUAUAUUGUUGUUUUCUCAUUCAAAAUUGGUGUUUAUAUGUUCUUUGUCUUUGACCGGAUUCUUAUUUUGGACUUGGAAGUCUAUCAAGAGAAAAGAAGAAAUGCAUCACAUAUCAAUUAGAAUAUAUAUGAAGUAUUUAUUUUUAUGUAGUAUUUGUUUUUGGAAAUGAUGUUUAUCAAUUUUAUUGAUUAUUGAUAUUUUGUUGUUAUAGAGCUAUGAUCAAGGUCAUGUAUAACAUAAUGUUUUUGCCUUUUUCCAAACAUCACGCCUUGAACUUGAGGAAUCCAUGUUUCGUCUAUCAAUAUAUGUAUGCUUGAACAUAGUACCUAAAAAACUAAGCAAGUAGCAAAUCUAUAACCUUCAUUUUUUUUAUAUAACUGAGGAGAUGGGAGGUCAAAUCGAAAACACACUAACUCAUGGAGAUGGGAGCAAAUGAGAGAAAGAGGACCAAAACUUAGACUUGACGGCAACAUGGUCAUCACGUGACCACCUUAACUUAAUCAAUAUCAUCAUUUGAUUAAAAUCAAUCAAUGGCUAAAAUUUGGCAUGAAAUUAACUUUGACAUU
rnacentral:lncRNA from 1 species